rnacentral:lncRNA from 1 species
AAGAGCUUGGAUGCCGUGAAGCUCGGGAAGAUGAAGCCGAAUCGUGAACAACGCGGAAUGAAGUUAAUCUGGAAUGAGAGGAAGUCUUGGGAGUUCGGAAGAAGAAAAGAUGACCCGUGAGCUGGUGUGUUCUGUUUCCGAGAAGUCCGGGAAGAAGAAUCGGAAGCCAUGAAGUUGGGAUUUGAGGUUGAGCUGGGAGCGAAAGGAGUUGCUUUGAUUUGUGAUGACGAGGAGAUGGUUUAGGAUGCGAGAGAUCGCUUCCGGCUGAGAUGCGGCUGGGAGGAAGUUGUUCCGAAACAGGGGAAGAUGAAUCUGAUGAUGUUAGGAAUGAAUGGAAUCUGGGACGGCUGGAAGGAAAUCCGGAAUAAUGUUGGAUUCAGCUCUAUCUUGGAAGGAUAAGCUCGGGAAGCAUAGAAGCAGGGGAUAAGCUGGAGCUUUGAAUGCAGAAGGGAUAAGGAUGAGGUCCGUGGGUCUCGGCUGGGAAAUAAUCCAGAAGAUGGCUGGGACGUAGGAGAUGGAAUGAAGGGGAUUUGCAUGAUGACGUGGAAUGAAGAGAGGUUGAGCAUGGAUCUCGGCUGGGCGUGGAAGAAGUUGGGGAUCCGGUCGUGAAAGAAGGGAAUGUGGCGGACGGCCUGGAAGUCUUUGUUUGUUCGUGGGAUAUGGGAGAUCACAAGCGGUCCAUAUCCAUUCAGCUGGGAAGAAAUCUAGAACAACUUUGUUCUUUGGACAUGGGAGUU